rnacentral:rRNA from 1 species
AUUGAACGCUGGCGGCAGGCCUAACACAUGCAAGUCGAACGGUAGCACAGAGAGCUUGCUCUCGGGUGACGAGUGGCGGACGGGUGAGUAAUGUCUGGGAAACUGCCCGAUGGAGGGGGAUAACUACUGGAAACGGUAGCUAAUACCGCAUAACGUCUUCGGACCAAAGUGGGGGACCUUCGGGCCUCACACCAUCGGAUGUGCCCAGAUGGGAUUAGCUAGUAGGUGGGGUAAUGGCUCACCUAGGCGACGAUCCCUAGCUGGUCUGAGAGGAUGACCAGCCACCCUGGAACUGAGACACGGUCCAGACUCCUACGGGAGGCAGCAGUGGGGAAUAUUGCACAAUGGGCGCAAGCCUGAUGCAGCCAUGCCGCGUGUAUGAAGAAGGCCUUCGGGUUGUAAAGUACUUUCAGCGGGGAGGAAGGCGGUGAAGUUAAUAGCUUCAUCGAUUGACGUUACCCGCAGAAGAAGCACCGGCUAACUCCGUGCCAGCAGCCGCCGUAA